CCUACGGGACGCUGCAGUGGGGGAUAUUGCACAAUGGGGGAAACCCUGAUGCAGCGACGCCGCGUGGGUGAAGAAGCGCCUCGGCGCGUAAAGCCCUGUCAGCAGGGAAGAAAAUGACGGUACCUGAAGAAGAAGCCCCGGCUAACUACGUGCAAGCAGCCGCGGUAAUACGUAGGGGGCAAGCGUUAUCCGGAUUUACUGGGUGUAAAGGGGGCGCAGACGGCGGUGCAAGCCAGGAGUGAAAGCCCGGGGCCCAACCCCGGGACUGCUCUUGGAACUGGCAAACUGGAGUGUGUGAGAGGAUAGGGGAAUUCCAGGUGUAGGAGUGAAAUGCGUAGAGAUCUGGAGGAACAGCAGUGGCGAAGGCGACUAUCUGGCACAUAACUGACGCUGAGGAGCGAAAGCGUGGGUAGCAAACAGGAUUAGAUACCCGAGUAGUC
rnacentral:rRNA from 1 species